rnacentral:rRNA from 1 species
CGGGUGAGUAACGCGUGGGUAACCUGCCUCAUACAGGGGGAUAACAGUUAGAAAUGACUGCUAAUACCGCAUAAGCGCACAGUACCGCAUGGUACAGUGUGAAAAACUCCGGUGGUAUGAGAUGGACCCGCGUCUGAUUAGCUAGUUGGUGGGGUAACGGCCCACCAAGGCGACGAUCAGUAGCCGACCUGAGAGGGUGACCGGCCACAUUGGGACUGAGACACGGCCCAG